AUUGAACGCUGGCGGCAGGCUUAACACAUGCAAGUCGAGCGAGCGGCGGACGGGUGAGUAAUGUCUGGGAAACUGCCUGAUGGAGGGGGAUAACUACUGGAAAAGGUAGCUAAUACCGCAUACCAUCAGAUGUGCCCAGAUGGGAUUGGCUCGUAGGUGGGGUAAUGGCUCACCUAGGCGACGAUCACUAGCUGGUCUGAGGGGAUGACCAGCCACACUGGAACUGAGACACGGUCCAGACUCCUACGGGAGGCAGCAGUGGGGAAUAUUGCACAAGGGGCGCAAGCCUGAUGCAGCAAUGCCGCUUGUGUGAAGAAGGCCGUCGGGUUGUAAAGCACUUUCAGCGAGGAGGCGUUACUCUCAGAAGAAGCACCGGCUAACUCCGUGCGAGCAGCCGCGGUAAUUC
rnacentral:rRNA from 1 species